UCUCUUCCCACAGGAAAGACGUGGCCAAUCGCAUUUGGGUCUGGGAUGGGGUUAGGAAUGGCUUAUUCCAAUUGUCAACAUGACUUCCAGUCUCCAUAUCUUCUCCAUGGUAAAUUUGUAAAAGAACAGUGACUAAUGACUAAGACUAUCCCAGUGGGAAGGAAGGAGAAAUCAAUGAUUAUUCCUCAGGAAUACUGAAGUGCGCCUGGAAUAAGCCAACAUUCUUCAGUAAUGAUCACCAGUAACUCUUUAUACUCCAACAAACUGUUUCUGUACACGAAACCAAGUUCUGUUUCUUGUUUUGUAUCCUGUGUCUGGAAAGUGCAAGGAAGAGCUCUUCUGGGAAAUAAAUAAAACAAAAAUGGCCUUCU